rnacentral:rRNA from 1 species
CGGCUGAGUAAGUUUCCCGUUAAAUCCAGCGUCUCAAGCGUUGGACUGCGGGAAAUACUGCUCGGCUAGAGAGUGGGAGAGGUCAACGGUAUUCUGGGGGUAGGGGCGAAAUCCUUUGAUCCCCGGAGGACCACCAGUGGCGAAGGCUGUUGACAAGAACACGUCUGACGGUCAGGGACGAAAGCUGGGGUAGCGAACCGGAUUAGAUACCCGGGUAGUCCCAGCUGUAAACGAUGCAUGCUAGGUGUUAGGUUGGCCACGUGCCACCCUAGUGCCGCAGGGAAGCCGUUAAGCAUGCCACCUGGGGA